rnacentral:rRNA from 1 species
UACGUAGGGUGCAAGCGUUGUCCGGAAUUAUUGGGCGUAAAGAGCGCGUAGGCGGUUUGUUGCGUCGGCUGUGAAAUCCCGAGGCUCAACCUCGGGUCUGCAGUCGAUACGAGCAAACUAGAGUGUUGCAGGGGAGACUGGAAUUCCUGGUGUAGCGGUGAAAUGCGCAGAUAUCAGGAGGAACACCGGUGGCGAAGGCGGGUCUCUGGGCCGAUACUGACGCUGAGGAGCGAAAGCGUGGGGAGCGAACAGG